rnacentral:rRNA from 1 species
CACGUAGGGUGCGAGCGUUUGUCCGGAAUUAUUGGGCGUAAAAGGCUCGUAGGCGGUCUGUCGCGUCGGGGAGUGAAAACUCAGGGCUUAACCCUGAGCCUGCUUCCGAUACGGGCAGACUAGAGGUAUGCAGGGGAGAACGGAAUUCCUGGUGUAGCGGUGAAAUGCGCAGAUAUCAGGAGGAACACCGGUGGCGAAGGCGGAUCUCGUGGGCCGUACCUGACGCUGAGGCGCGAAAGCUAGGGGAGCGAACUGG